UAACAUGAGAGUUUGAUCCUGGCUCAGGAUGAACGCUGGCGGCGUGCUUAACACAUGCAAGUCGAACGAAGCAC
rnacentral:rRNA from 1 species